GCUUGUCUCAAAGAUUAAGCCAUGCAUGUCUAAGUAUAAACAACUUUAUACUGUAAAACUGCGAACGGCUCAUUAUAUCAGCAAUAAUUUAUUUGAUGGUGACUUACUACAUGGAUAACCGUAGUAACCUAGAGCUAAUACAUGCACAAAAUCCCGACUUCACGGAAGGGAUGUAUUUAUUAGAUAAAAAACCAAUCCGGCAACGGUGCUUGGUGAUUCAUAAUAACUGUUCGAAGCGCACGGCCUCGCGCCGGCGCUAGUUCAUUCAAAUUUCUGCCCUAUCAGCUUUCGACGGUAGUGUAGUGGACUACCGUGGCGCUAACGGGUGACGGAGAAUUAGGGUUCGGUUCCGGAGAGGGAGCCUGAGAAACGGCUACCACAUCCAAGGAAGGCAG
rnacentral:rRNA from 1 species